AUAAAAAUAAAAACUAAAAUAAAAUAAUAGAUAAUAAUAAUAAUAAUCUGAAACGCUAUACAAAUGCUAAAAAAAAUCUAAACCAAAAUCAUGAAGUUAACAAAUAAAAAUAGAUAAGAAUUAUCACUAAAAACAAAAAUAAAAAUAAAAUGAAAAUUAUUUAAAAAUUUGGUGUCUACACUGGCGAGAGUUGGGCAGAUGUCCCGUAGAUACCCUUGGGUUCGCCUUUAGAAGUGGGGGCGUCACAAACAACACCAGUGAACACCUACUGCCACCGAUCACCAAUGGCUCCACCAUCGCCACCUAUCACCAGUAAGUAGCUCCACUACCAAUCAUCACUGAUUUCAAUGCUCAAUGAUCCCGAAAUAACACCAAAAAAUUUCCAAUCAGAUAGAGCGCAAAAUAACAACAAAAAUUCUCAAUCUAAUAGUCUCAAAAUAUUAGCAAAAAAUUCUCAAUCAAUGAUCCGAUCAUAACACCAAAAGCCUCCAAUAUAUCAAUCACAUAGUGGCUCUAUUAUCAACUUCAAAUUAAUCCAAAUUGAAUAGAAACAUGGAUAGCAAAAUUAUAUCUGAUGAUGGCCAUUUGUUGGUGGUAUCAGUUGAAGGACAGAUGGGAGGAAAGGAGAAAAGAAGCAAAAAACAAAAAAAAGAAAAAGAAAAAUCAACCAUUGGGCAAGGAGGAGAAAUCGAGGUCCACUGCCUUCAUGUAAUUGGAGACCCUCUUAGCUUGCUUGGAAUACUGAGAGGAUAGACCCUCCUAAUCAACUGAGACGAGGCCAAACUUCGAAGGACUGGUGAUGAAGAUGUAGGGGAAAGAGGCGGUUCUGUUGCCUAAGAAAACAAUGAUUAGAGGAGAAAGAGACUAAGCAGCCCCCAAGUCUCCGAAGAAAGUUGCUGCUUAGAUUUGGGUUUUUAAUUUUAUGAACACAUGAAAAAAUCAUGAAUUUAGACUGGCGAUGAUAGAGAUGCCAUUGAAAAUGAAGACGGUGAGACGGUGAUAGCGAGAUAAUGGCAUCAGUGAAAGGGUGGUGUUAGCUGGAUUGAUGGGGAAAGAAAAAGAAAGGAAAAUCAAAGGGGAAAGGAAAAUCAGGAAAAAUGUUAAAAAAAAAAAAAAGAGAGGAAGAAACAAGAAGCUCAGAACGUUUUGAUGUUUUACCUUGAGUGAAGAAGAUGAUACAUCUUAU
rnacentral:lncRNA from 1 species